UGGGGAAUUUUGGACAAUGGGCGAAAGCCUGAUCCAGCAAUGCCGCGUGUGUGAAGAAGGCCUUCGGGUUGUAAAGCACUUUUGUCCGGAAAGAAAUCCUUGGCUCUAAUACAGUCGGGGGAUGACGGUACCGGAAGAAUAAGCACCGGCUAACUACGUGCCAGCAGCCGCGGUAAUACGUAGGGUGCAAGCGUUAAUCGGAAUUACUGGGCGUAAAGCGUGCGCAGGCGGUUUGCUAAGACCGAUGUGAAAUCCCCGGGCUCAACCUGGGAACUGCAUUGGUGACUGGCAGGCUAGAGUAUGGCAGAGGGGGGUAGAAUUCCACGUGUAGCAGUGAAAUGCGUAGAGAUGUGGAGGAAUACCGAUGGCGAAGGCAGCCCCCUGGGCCAAUACUGACGCUCAUGCACGAAAGCGUGGGGAGCAAACAGGAUUAGAUACCCUGGUAGUCCACGCCCUAAACGAUGUCAACUAGUUGUUGGGGAUUCAUUUCCUUAGUAACGUAGCUAACGCGUGAAGUUGACCACCUGGGGGAGUACGGUCGCAAGAUUAAAACUCAAAUGAAUUGACGGGGUCAUAGCUGUUUCCU
rnacentral:rRNA from 1 species